rnacentral:rRNA from 1 species
UACGGAGGGUGCAAGCGUUAUCCGGAAUCACUGGGCGUAAAGGGCGCGUAGGCGGUCUGUUAAGUCCGAUGUUAAAGGCUGGGGCUCAACCCCAGUAAAGCGUUGGAUACUGGCAGGCUAGACGGUUGGAGAGGCGAGUGGAAUUACCAGUGUAGCGGUGAAAUGCGUAGAUACUGGUAGGAACACCCAUGGCGAAGGCAGCUCGCUGGACAACCCGUGACGCUGAGGCGCGAAAGUGUGGGGAGCAAAC